rnacentral:rRNA from 1 species
UACGGGGGGGGCAAGCGUUGUUCGGAAUUACUGGGCGUAAAGGGCUCGUAGGCGGCCAACUAAGUCGGAUGUGAAAUCCCCAGGCUCAACCUGGGAACUGCAUCCGAUACUGGAUGGCUUGAAUUCGGGAGAGGGAUGCAGAAUUCCAGGUGUAGCGGUGAAAUGCGUAGAUAUCUGGAGGAAUACCGGUGGCGAAGGCGGCAUCCUGGACCGACAUUGACGCUGAGGCGCGAAAGCCAGGGGAGCAAAGCGGG